UUUAAUCGAUCAAACUGUGUCAAAUAAUUUCGAUUUCGAAAAUCCCAAGUGAGGUUAGUCGACGAUCCAUACUCUUAACGUGGCAAGUCACAGGACGAUGGUAAAAAAAUAUGCUUGCUGGUGUCACUUGGAAAUUGAAGAAGCUCAGGAUGACGAUCUUUAAUGUGUGCGUCACGGUUGGGUAUGGUGGACGCAUGAAUAAACCCUCUGGACAGCCUCUUGCGCCGAUUGUUUGAAAGCUUUGAAUUUAUCACGUACAGCUUUGCCGGCAAAAUGCAUGGGUAAUUUAUCUGUGCACGAGAGAACACUAAACGCCUUAUAGAAUUUCGUACGUAUGGCGUCCGUUCUCGUAAGGACCUGCAAAAACGUAAAAAUACACAAAUGUAUCGUACUAUGAAAUGCAAACAGGAGCAGAGGGCGUUGUAGGCAUGAUUGUCUGAAAAAUGGAAGAACAAAGAAAAACGACGACGACAACAAUUUGCGGUUAUAGAAAAUAAAUUAUUUACUUCGCAGCACGAACGCCCACUACACGAACGUACACGGGAUUUGAGGUUAUGUAAGGCUGUUUGCGCUUCGUUCAUGGCCGGUAAUAUGCUGAGAAGCCGGUUUACCCUCCCUUCAAAGACACAGGACAUAUAGCUACUGACAUCAUUUUUAAUGAUUUCUCCUUUUGUCUGCAGUUCGAGGAAAUAACGCAUACAUUCGGUUUUGUUGACAGCGGUCUUCGUAUUUUUCAUAAUACUUAACGUUUCCAUCAAGCUCUAUAAAAAAUAAGACCCUAAUUAUAUUUAGAAUAUAAACGUUUGAAAAUCAGUGUUAAAGUAAUCGUCAGUGAUC